rnacentral:lncRNA from 1 species
AUGAUUCCCAGGUCUGCGUGGGAGCUCGUGUGUCCUCCAUCCCCUCAUUUGUCGUGUGUCCCCACCAGUGGAUAUUUCAGUAUCCGGGAUGCUGUGGGCUGUAAUCCACUUACUGCUUCACUCCAAAGGCCCCGCGGUGUGGAUCGUCGCCCGCGUGUCCCCCCUCUGGCCCCGGCGGGACGCAGCAGGCUCCCUGGACACCCCCGCCUCGGUCCUAGGGUCGGCUGGCCUCCAGCUUCUCCUUUCCUUGGAGGAUGGAAUCAGAGGCCACACUGGGGCGGCUGGGCGUGCUCAGUGCCCCUGGGGUGCCCUGGCUUGCAGCCCCUUCUGGUGACAGAGCGGGGAGUGACGCGUGCAUGUGCUCACGUGCACACAGGUGCACGCACCUUCCUACCUGCGACCGCCUGUGCUUCUUGUAAAGCAACCGAGAGCACCCACGGCCUUCCCACCUCCAGCCCCAGCCCCCUGCUUCUCGGCCAACUCCCACCCCACGGCAGGCAACCCGGCUCGCAGCACCCAGCACCCAGCAGCCAGCACCCAGCGACUCCGCCACCCAGUCCCAGCGCACCUGCCGGGGGCCAGGGUGUGACGAGCGCCCCGGGGAAACCGCCUCCGUCCCGCUGCAGCUCCAGGCCCCUGUCACAGACCCAGUCCCCCUGCCGGGGUCCUCCUGCCCGGGUCCUCCUGCCGUGGCUUGUCUCCUUGUCCUUCCUGCGGUCCCCUGACCUACUGAGUCGCCUGGGAAGCGUCGUGCACGUGAUGGCUCACUGUCCUGCUGGAAAAGCCUGCAGAAGCGCAGCCCCCCGCCCCAGGACUGUGGAGCUAGGGCCCCCCCCGGGCCUGCUCUGUGCUGUGUCUUCUCCACCCCCCCCACCCCACGCCACCCCCAUCAGGCCCCUGGCGAUCACCCUAUUUACUCUCUUGUUGUCGCUCUCUCGGUCGCCUUUUCUAGAAGCCCGUCGACAUGGAAGGGACAGGAUGUGGCCUUUCACACCGACCUUUUUGGCUUUCGAGCCCAGCUCUGUGGCUUCCCUGAGUCCCCGGCCGCUGCCUCCGGCCUGA